rnacentral:tRNA from 1 species
GUCGGAGUGGCGAAACGGUAGACGCACUGGCUUUAGGAGCCAGCGCCGCAAGGCAUGUGGGUUCGACUCCCACCUCCGACA